rnacentral:rRNA from 1 species
GAUGAACGCUGGCGGCGUGCUUAACACAUGCAAGUCGAGCGAGUGAGUUCUUCGGAACGAUCUAGCGGCGGACGGGUGAGUAACACGUGGGCAACCUGCCUCAUAGAGGGGGAUAGCCUCCCGAAAGGGAGAUUAAUACCGCAUAAAAUUAACGAGUGGCAUCACAUGAUAAUCAAAGGAGUAAUCCGAUAUGAGAUGGGCCCGCGGCGCAUUAGCUAGUUGGUGAGGUGACGGCUCACCAAGGCGACGAUGCGUAGCCGACCUGAGAGGGUGAUCGGCCACAUUGGGACUGAGACACGGCCCAGACUCCUACGGGAGGCAGCAGUGGGGAAUAUUGCACAAUGGGGGAAACCCUGAUGCAGCAACGCCGCGUGAGUGAUGAAGGUCUUCGGAUUGUAAAGCUCUGUCUUUGGGGACGAUAAUGACGGUACCCAAGGAGGAAGCCACGGCUAACUACGUGCCAGCCGCCGCCGUAA